rnacentral:rRNA from 4 species
AAUUCCAGCUCCAAUAGUGUAUAUUAGAGUUGUUGCAGUUAAAAAGCUCGUAGUUGGAUUUCUGCUGUGGUCAUCCGGUACCGCCCGUAUGGGUGCGCACCUGGUUUGGCUCCGGCUUUCUUCCUGUAGCCGUCCGCGCUUAAUUGCGUGUACUGUGUUACGGAACUUUUACUUUGAGAAAAAUAGAGUGUUUCAAGCAGGCUUGUCGCCCUGAAUACUUCAGCAUGGAAUAAUAGGAUAGGACCUUGGUUCUAUUUUGUUGGUUUCUAGGACCAAGGUAAUGAUUAAUAGGGACAGUUGGGGGCAUUCGUAUUUAACUGUCAGAGGUGAAAUUCUUAGAUUUGUUAAAGACGAACUACUGCGAAAGCAUUUGCCAAGGAUGUUUUCAUUAAUCAAGAACGACAGUAGGGGGUUUGAAGACGAUUAGAUACCGUCGUAAUCUCUACCAUAAACUAUGCCGACUAGAGAUAGGGAAACGCCUACCUUGGCUUCUCCUG